rnacentral:rRNA from 1 species
AGAGAUUCCGUCACCACCAAAAGAGUUAAACACAGGGACACAUUUGAAGUCUCGGAGCCGGGUGUUGGUUCCGGUAGUGAUCGAGGGAAGUUAGUACCGAAGUCCGGGAUGGAAGAUGGCGAGAAAAGCUGUGUGUAUUUCUGCGGUGCCCGUACCGCAAACCGACACAGGUAGGUAGGAAGAAGAUUCUAAGGUCAACGGGAGAAGGGUUGUUAAGGAACUCGGCAAAUUGACCCCGUAACUUCGGGAGAAGGGGUGCUCCAGAGAUGGAGCCGCAGAGAAUCGGCCCAAGCAACUGUUUACCAAAAACACAGGUUUGUGCUAAAUCGAAAGAUGACGUAUACGAGCUGACGCCUGCCCGGUGCUGGAAGGUUAAGAGGAGAUGUGCAAGCAUUGAAUCGAAGCCCCAGUGAACGGCGGCCGUAACAAUAACGGUCCUAAGGUAGCGAAAUUCCUUGUCAGGUAAGUUCUGACCCGCAUGAAAGGCGUAAUGAUUUGGGCACUGUCUCGACAGCCCGCCCGGCGAAAUUGUAGUACCGGUGAAGAUGCCGGUUACCCGCGACAAGACGGAAAGACCCCAUGGAGCUUUACUGUAGCCUAAUAUUGGGUUUCGAUGUUGCAUGCACAGGAUAGAUGGGACACUGGGAAGCAAGUGCUUUGGCAUUUGUGGAGUGGCCGUCGGGAUACCAUCCUUGCGAUAUUGGAAUUCUAACCUGCGCCUUUGAAUCAAGGCGGGGGACAUUGUUAGGUGGGCAGUUUGACUGGGGCGGUCGCCUCCUAAAGAGUAACGGAGGCGUUCAAAGGUUCGCUCAGCUUGAACGGAAAUCAAGCAAAAGAGUGCAAACGCAGAAGCGAGCCUAACUGCGAGACUGACGGGUCGAGCAGUAACGAAAGUUGGAGUUAGUGAUCCGGUGGUAUGUGAGUGGAAAUGCCAUCGCUCAACGGAUAAAAGUUACCCUGGGGAUAACAGGCUGAUCUCCCCCAAGAGUCCACAUCGACGGGGAGGUUUGGCACCUCGAUGUCGGCUCAUCGCAUCCUGGGGCUGUAUUCGGUCCCAAGGGUUUGGCUGUUCGCCAAUUAAAGCGGUACGCGAGCUGGGUUCAGAACGUCGUGAGACAGUUCGGUCCCUAUCUGUCGUGGGCGCAGGAUAUUUGAUGGGAGCUGUUCCUAGUACGAGAGGACCGGAGCGGACGUACCUCUGGCGCACCAGUUGUUCUGCCAAGGGCAUAGCUGGGCAACUAUGUACGGAUCGGAUAAACGCUGAAAGCAUCUAAGCGUGAAGCCGACCCAAAGAUAAGAUAUCCCAUUGUUUCAAACAAGUAAGACCCCUUGAAGACUACAAGGUUGAUAGGCAUGAUGUGUAAGUGGAGUGAUCCAUUCAGCAAGCAUGUACUUAUAGGUCGAGGGCUUGACCU